rnacentral:lncRNA from 1 species
AAAACGAAGAGGAGGAAAGUAAAAAGGGACACUCGCGAAAAUGGAUGAAUUUGGAUGCUUCAGCUACAAGAAGAGCGACAACAAACGUUAAUAUUAACUAAAGUUUUUUGGAGCGGUGGAUUUUACCGACCUGAGGCCUGCUGGAGCACGUUAUUUCGAAAAGGUGGCUAAUUGGGUUCCUGAUCAGUUUAGAACUCCUGGGAGGGAACUUCGAUCUUCCAGUUUGACCUUUCACCCCUCGAGGUCGACUCCUGCAUUACUUCAGGCCUCACUUAAAGGAAUAAAUUGUAAGAUAUUGCUUCUAAAGUGAUUCAUCACUAUGUUAAUUAUUUAAAAGUUAAUACUGUAUGACGUAACCUCAACAGUAAUGAUUAAUUAGCUGAUUUAAUUAAAAGUAAUUUAUUAGGCUAAAAAGCCAAACACUUUCUGGUUCCAG